AAAAGGAGAAUCACUUAGUGUAAAAGACAUAUGCACCUUUAAAAGAAAUGUUAGAUACAAAAGAUGAGAUUUGAAAAAGCAAAACUAUCAAAACUAAAGCCCUAAAAGAAGCAAAAGAGUGAUGAGAGUUACAGAAAAAAAGGAGAAAACAACUCUGGGGAAGAAUUGUUUGCACUCUGCCACACACACACACACCACACACACACACCACACACACACAUAUCAUGUCAAGAGCAAAUGCUCCCAUUGUUUCUGCUCUCUAUUCUAAUGCAGAACUGAGCGCGAUGAGGGUAAAUCCGGAUCUGGACUCCUUUCCCACCAUCAGCAGAAGAACCGAAGGAGAAGAAGCGCCUGAUCAACAACCAGAACAGGGUGGAAGCUCUGAUACCACAGCAGCUGGAGGACACAGACCACAGCAUGGAGGCCUCAGCGACUCUCACAACGUCUGCAGCCAUCACGUUCUGGGCUCAUCAGAUGAACCAGCUACUACAAGCGUGUGUGUCUGACACAGACACCUGCUUAUGACAAUCAGCAAAGGAAAACAAGGACAGAGCAACAGCAGAGAAAACGUGCUCUGACACAGACACUGGUUGAAACAACAGGAGAGGCUUCAGACGUGAUCGGCCCAAUAGAGCUGCAUGCGAGGAUCCAGGAAAGGUCUGUCAUCGAGGAACAACUGUCCCAUCGAAAGGCUUCACCCACUGGCGCUCACAUGAGACUGAUGGUUGGGGAAGGAGGAAGGUGACGGUUCCUUUUCACGUGACGUACAAGACGGUACCGCAAACACACACACACAUUCAUGCACGCAAUGAAGAAACACGCUUACAGCUGAUACACGCUCAAAUUCAUGUUCAUGCUUAUCUGCUCGCAAUGAAGAAUCGCUUUUUGCUUAAAAAAAAAAUCCCACAGAGUGAUUUUAAAAUUAUGACAAACAGCUAAAUGACAACUGCUGCAUGACUUUGCAGUCUGAUGGGUUUAAACUAUUUCAAUUUGAAACAAAUUCAGUAAUAAAAUCCUUCAUGUUUCUAAAAAGAUUUGUGCACAAUAUAGGUUUGUCUGGCCAGACUGUAGAAGAAAACAAAAUAAAACCAGACUGUAGAAAAACAAAACAAAACCAGACUAUAGGAAGACUGAGACUGACUGAAACAGACUAUUAAUGACUAUUAAAGGGAAGACGACUAUUAGAGAGAAGUAAUAAUAAUUACAGUACGUACCAGACUAUUAAAGAAAAACUUACUGUUUCACUGUCUUGGGCAACAUCUGACAGCAAGACACCUUAACAUUCAUUUUUACUUUCAAACUUAUGCCCAGUUUAAAUUUUUAGGAAGAGAUCUGACGUGUAGUUUAGGAAUUUGAUUGAUUUCCACUCCAGACGGAGUGCAGGUUACAUCUACAGACAUUCUAAAUAAUCCCUCUUUUGUUGGUGUUAACUUCAGCUCAGCUGUGCUCUUAUCAUUGGCUGCUGAGGGGGGGCUGUAACUGAGGCCCUCACACAGGCUGCAUCACAGCUUGUUUAUGAUUUCACUCACACUCAAACUGACCGCAACUUCCCUCUUUUGGGAUGAACACAGGUCUGCGCUUGCGAUUUCUUUUACUAACGAACAAAAAGAUUUUUGAUGUUUAUUCUACAGUUCCACACGUCCCUCUGUGAAAACAUGAUGGAGACAGAUGCAGGACGUGGGUCCUUUCGUGAACAGAUGUCAACGGGGUGGAGACUGGUGAACGACUUCUGACCCCAUGUGACGUAUUCACCUAGUUUGCAUACUUUGAAAACUUUUUAUUCUGCCCGUCAUGUGCAGCAAACAGUGAACUUGGUACCUCCACAUUCUAAUGACACACUACAUGCUUUGGUUUUAUUUUCAUUUUUCAGAGGACGCUCUGACCCAACACUCUGCCUCACAGGAAGCCCUGCUUCCCUGUGGCUUCCCUCACACACAGAUAUGAUGUAGGUUUGAUCAGAGGAUGUGAAUCAGUGGUCAUCACACCUAAAUCUGACCACAGACCAUGUAAACAACAACACCCUCUGAAAGGAAGCCAUAGAUGGCGUUACUGCAGACACCACUAAGCUACUGAAUCAUUGGAUGCAACAGGCCACAAAGACAGCCUGUCUAAAUUACAGUUUGUUCAGACAAAGGUUAUUUUCUGGGUCAUUGUAAUUACAGCUGAUGGCAAAUCCAUCGCACCCAACAGAGUUAAAGCAAUUUGAAACCUGUCUAAACCGUGCACGUAUAAACAGCUUAUGUUUUUUCUAGGUCUUUGUUCUUAUUGUAGGACUUGCGUUCCUAACUUUACCUUCUCUGAGGCCCCACUCAGGGUUCUGAUGCAGACGUCUUCAUCGUCCACUUCUUGUCUCACGUGGACGUCUGAGGCUGAACAACGUUCACUGACCUCAUGCUUGCUCUUCAGUUGGCUCCUACUUUGGGUCUUCCUGAUCUGACCCUACGCGACCUUUCACUCAAACAGUGGAUGAGAAAUCAGGAACGCAGACUCGGGCUGACGAAUGGUUCCACCUGUAGCCAUGGAGUCUGGUUUGGGCCUGAUGGCAGCCGUGUCGUCCAAACACUUUUUCCCCACAAUUCAGAUUUCCCAACAGGUGAAAACAGUCGACAGGACCAUUACACCAUCCAACCAGGGGACUGGGCGAUCGUUAAGGAGUUCAGGAGGAAGCACUGGGACUCCAAACAGUAGCGAGGCCCCUUCCAGGUCCUUCUGACGACCAACACGGCUGUAAAGAUCGCAGAGAGAGCGACUUGGAUCAACUCCAUCCAGGAAGGUCCCGGAUCCGACAGACGACCCUCCAUCUACACCACUUGAGAAAACCACCACUGACGAAAAGAACUGAGAAGGACGACCCUCGCUGUGCUCACACACGCACUGAGGCGAGGCUGCGUUGACCGUUCAGCUAAAGGUGUGAGCCAAGCGCCGCCUGAGGCUGCACCGGUGAAUUACACUAUCAGACCAUACAUCUACACACACGCUCCUGAGAAAACACACACACGAGCAGCCUUGAGUUGCCGACGCUGGACGACGUGUAGACUCUUCACAUCAUGGGAGUGACAGUGACUCAGACGACAUUGGGAGGAAACCUGGCGGUGAUAACGAAUCCCAAGUGUCUCUGUGAUCAGCUGAUCACAACCUGAAGAACGCCAACGAACUGGAAAUACAUCAACACAGGUUGGAAACAAUCUAACGCUACUGUUCAACAGGACGAAGCAGAUUGUUAUGAGACAUCAAUUGUGACCUUGUUGUGUUAGACAUUUUAUGUUACUUGGAUUAUUGCCUUUAGCAUAUGAUGUUUCUAUGUAACUUUACACACUUUUGAAAAAGAAAAUUUCACAACACUGAGUUUAAAUAUCCUAAAGUUGAUUUGGUGUUUGAUUUGCUCACAAUCACUUUAUUCACUGCUACAAAAAUUUUCUAUCCUUCAUCUACAGAUGAAAGACAACACAAGCGGAAAUAUGCAUCAUCAUUCUGGUUAAAUCCCUGAUUCUCCUAUUCGCUCUAGACGCAAAUGUACGAUUAAAGAUCCGAAAGCAUGAAAUCUAUCUUAAGAUUAUAUGAUACAGAACCCCAUCGGAAACCUAUGGCUAUCAUAAAUUGAUUGUCUUUAUUACAUUAUAAUCGAACGGCCCUAGACACGUUGUUAGCAGAGAAAAGAGGCGUUUGUGUUAUGUUUGGAGAGGCAUGUUGUACUUACAUCCUGAAUAACACUGAUUCUAAUGGUAUUGUGGCGAAGGCGCUCCACGGCCUUCAGAAUCUCAGCUAACUCUGGUAUAGGUUCUUUCCCUUGGAAUUGGCUAGACAAAAUGUCUGGAAAAUGGAAAUCUGUUCUCAUGUCCGCAGCUGUUUCCUUUAUCAUUGAGAUGGCUGUAAUUCUCUUGUUUGGUUUUUGCGUUAUCCCACUGGUUAGAGGUCUCAUCAUGCGUGCGACCCCAGCAACACUCUCGUAUCAAAUGACACAAUGCACUAUGUUCAAAAACCCCAACUCUAAUUCACUUAAUGACUUUGACGAUGGUCUUAGGCUAUCGGAUCAAAAAUAUUAUCUGAUACAAAUAUAACUAUUGGCUUCAAAGUUAUUCUUGUAUAACUACCCACCAAAAACAGCUCCCAACCUUUUGUCCCUAAGUUACUUGCAUUUUAUAUGGAGGUGUAUUUUGAAUCUUGAUGAGUUAAUAGCCUUAUUGUUUCAUUUGCAAGGAUAUUUUAUUAUUACAGAAUGUGAUGUUGACAAUUUUUUUGGUGAUUUUUAUGGUUUGAUUAAUGUGUACUCAAAAGGGGGGAGUGUUAUGGGAAAAAUUGUCUCUUCCUUAUUUCUAUGUGUCUUCCUUAUUUCUAUGCAUUUCUAUGCAGUUAUUAUAUGAGUUAUGACUUAUGUUCUGCAAUUAAUAUCUUAUGUUUUGUCUUACUGUAUGCAUUUGACAUUUGACCUACAUUGUUCAAUGGUUGUCUCUGUCUGAUAGACUCUCAACUCUAGCUCCCAAACCCAAGGUCGGAGAGUUGUGUCUCUGUCUGUUGAGACUUGGUGCUCCUUUCUCACAGAUAGUUGGACGUCAGCAAUGCAGGUGUGAGAAUGUAAAUAUCUUCACACACACUGCGACAGGGAGGAGAUGGUGCAUGUAAUUUGAUUGGGUUAGAAAGACAUUCCACCCUAGUCGGACAGAGAAGCUAAAAGGCAGAAGCAACUUGAGGAUCGUGGGCUCUUUGCAUCACACCUUCGUGGUGUGUGCACUGAUCUCCCCAGCUGGUCUUUGGUUUGUUGAUGUGCACGAUCAACAUCCAUGCUUUUUAUUUGCUUUCCCCAUUAUUUUUAUUUUCUUUAUUAUUUCAAUAAAUCGCACAAAAGGACAACUCUCUCUCAUCUACUUCUUUAUGGAAAAUUUCCACCACAACACAUCAGGCAAGAAUUUGAGUAAUUAGCCUAGAAACAAGUCCAGUUACAUUCAUGUCUUCAAUAUCAUUUGUCAAAGUGCAUCUUAAGGUCAGCUAACAACAUGAUGAUAAGGUUGAUGAUUAUAAUAAUCCAGACACUUUUGAGGGAAUUUGCCAACUUGAAGCUGAUAACUCAACUCUUUAUUUAUGUAGUGGGUGUGGUCCCAGUUAAAAUACAUGUGGUGUGUGCAAUAAGACUUAAAUGAAAAGACUGUACUCAGUCAAAUUCUGGACUACACACUUCACGCUACACUGAGACACUUUGGGGAAAGCACAGUUCAAUAGACAACAGUUACUGGUUCCUUUUUCCAAAAUUUUGCCCUUAUUUUUAUCCUGUCAAACUGGUUCCAUCCAGCAGAGUGCUGAGGUUAACUCAGGACUGUUCCCUGACUACUACCAGGCUCAUGUUUCCCUAGGCACAAACCACCUCCCUCUCAUUGCAACACUGACGAAAGCAGAACAAAAUAACAGGAAGGAUGGCCUUAAAUGUGUGGAAUGCUGAGUCAACACAAUGACACAGCAGAAUCUCCAGCUGAACCCGACACUUUGGAUUUAGUUACGUGACAUAAGAAUACUGUCUAAAUGGUGGAGUCAGAUUUUAACUGAGCUGCCUGGGCUGUUCCUGGGCACAGUCAUUGGCUGAAAGUGACGUUACGUCUGUCACGUGGUCCGCAGGGGCGUAUAAAUUCAGGAAGUGAAGGGCAGCA